rnacentral:misc_RNA from 1 species
AGGCAAUGGAUGAUUCUUUAUACAGUGGAGAAGCAAGCAGAACAUUACCAACCCCAUCCUUCAUCACAAAGCAAACAUCUUUUCUUUUUCAUUAAAUGUAAUAAUAUAGUUUUCUUUUUUUUACUUUAUUUUUCCUUGCCUUUUUUUCUUGUCACCUUUUAUCUGUAACACUUUCUCUCUCUAAAUUCUCAAGUAUCCUUUUAUUCCAAUUCCAUGUGCAUUGUCUUUUAAGCAGCGCCACUGUAUGAAUCUCAUCAAAAAUCCAUUUGAGUCCUCUUCCUAAAACCCAGAAAACGUCUCCCAUUAAAAUGGCUGAAGCAGCUUCUAAGUACCUGUUCUUGUUCUUCUUUUCGCUUCUCGCUCUCUGCUCUUCUGGAACUCAGAUGGGUUUCUCUUAUAAUGCCAGAGGGAUCAUUGCAGCUUCAUCACUUAGCAGAACACUAUCAUUCCUUAAGCUGAACAAGGUUUCUGGAUCCCUCAUUCGAGUUUUCGUUGCAGAUCAUAGGGUUUUAAGCACACUUUCCAAUUCUGGUGUGUCUGUUGAUUUUUCCUUGAAUGAAAGUCUAGUCGAGGAUUUUGCAAAUUCUAGAUCAUCUGCUAUUUUGUGGCUGAAAACCCAUGUAAUGAGCUUUCUGCCUCAAGUUAACAUUAGAAGUGUCACUGUAAGCAGCAGUAAUGAUUUGUCCAAGCUUUCAUCUUCCUUGAAAUUGAUACAUUCAGUUCUUAGUAGUUCUCAAUUUAAUAGUGAAGUUAACGUCUCAGUAGCAUUUUCAUUGUCAUUCUUGGAGAAUUUGAAUGGAACACAAGAAAAUGACCUGCUUAGGGUUUUAGGAUUUAUCAAGAGAACUAGGUCCUUUAUGAUUGUAGAAGGAAGUACUGAUAAUGGUUUAGAAUUGAGCAUGGGAGAUCUUUUCCUGACAUCAAUGAUCCAGAAAGCAAAGCUUAUUACUUCUAUACUUCCUUGUAAUGAUGUUACUAUAGUCAUGACCGUUAAGAGCCUUAUAGAUCCUAGUGCAAGAGAAUUAGCUGAAUUUGCAGCUAAGUCCUCAAAUUCAUUACAGAAAACUAAGAUUUCAGGUCAGAUAACUGAGAUAUAUGCAGAAGUAUCUUCCGUCGAAGAUUUUGUGGAAAAAGAGCUUAAGAGAGAACAUGAACAAAUCUUUCUUUUGUCUCGCCGAGAACUCUUGAAAGCUACUUCACAUGACGCAAUCAAUCCACCAGUGACUGUCCCCCAAGAUAAGCCCACACCAAUUCUCACUGUCCCUGCUACUAAUCCUGUCACUAUAACACCAGCUAAUUCUGCAUCCACUCCAGUACCAAUCCCUUCCACCACACCUGUUAUGGUUCCCCCUACAAAUCCUUCUGUUAAUACCCCACCACCAAUCACCAAUCCGGUCACAACACCAGCACCUGUCACAGUUCCUGGGGUGCAACCAAUAACUAAUCCUGUGACAACAUAUCCUGCCCCACCAGCAAACGUUCCGGUCACAACUCCAGUCACGAAUCCUGUGUCGCCUCCUGCAACAACAAAUGCUCCAGCAAUUCCAGGACAGAGCUGGUGUGUGGCCAAGCCUGGAUCAUCGGAAACUGCACUUCAAUCAGCAUUGGAUUAUGCAUGUGGAAUGGGAGGUGCUGAUUGUUCGCAGAUCCAGCAAGGUGGGGGCUGCUAUAAUCCUAACACCCUACAAAACCAUGCCUCAUAUGCAUUUAACAGCUAUUAUCAGAAGAAUCCUGUAGCAACCAGCUGUGAUUUUGGAGGGACAGCCACUGUAGUCAACAAUAAUCCAAGUAAGAAAACUUCUUAACUUAGUGAUGCUUUUGUUUCUUGUGCUUAAAAUUUCUUCAUCUUCCAAAUAUGCAAAACUGUUUCUAAGAGUCUCAUAACAUAUUAACAGGCACUGGUUCGUGUGUUUUUCCAUCAUCAUCAUCAUUGCCAACUCCAACUCAAACACCAUCAACUUCAACUACAAAUCCAGCAACAACACCAUCGUCUCCAGGGGUUGGAACAUCAGGGUAACGUUGUCCAUUCUCAUAGGUGUUCGUUUUUCCUUUUUAGUGCCAAACUACUAAGUCAAGAACUUAAUGACAUGAAUCUGAGCUCUUUCUGCAGAACUGUUACUCCACCAUCAGUGUUAAACUCUAGCAGCUCAGGUACCGCAACAGGUUUUGGGUCGGAAACCCCUCCUGGUUUCAACACUUCCACAUCCAAGUCAGCUACUAUGCAACCAUCAAUCAGGAGCAUCAUUCUGAUAACGUUCUUCAUUGUCAGAAUAAUUAUUCUGGACAUGUAGAAUGAAGGAUUUCUCAGUGUACAUUCAUUAGUUGGAAGUUCAUGCUUGCACAGCAGAUUAGAGUUGCAGAUACUCCCAUCUUUAAAGACAGAGAAACAGAAGAUGAAAUCCUCAAGGUUGAAUUAUAACACGUAAACCCUUCUAAAGAUUAACCAGCUGCUUCAGCUUGCACAGGAUGUAAAGAUGUUUAUUGCUCAAGGUACAAUUUAAUUUUCCACAUGAAACAUAAUCACAUGUUUAAUGCUAGGCUGCUGUUACCAGUAAAAGUAAUGAGGUUGGAUAGUAGUGUAAAAGGGCAAUUUUGCUCCUGUAAAUCUUUUAAAUGUAGCAGAGUUUCAAGUUUAACUUAUGUAUCACGUUUGCUUAAUCCAGUUAAAUGAACUUGCAUUAGACACUGAUGAGUGGGUAUUGGAAUCAUCUUCAAGACUUGGUGAUUUCAAGUUCAAAUCCAUGUUGAAGCCAAGUGAACCAAAAUAAAAAAGUUUUAUCCAUUCAGUUAUUAGACCAUUACAUUACCAUGCGACUGCUAGCAAAUUAGGUUCCUGAGCCUUGGCAUGUGAGAAAAGAGGCAAGUCCAAAUGUACCAGGUUCUUACUUUUAAUGGUAUGAAUAUUUCACAGUUCA